ensembl:lncRNA novel transcript, antisense to OR13C3
AGUUCUUUCUUUUCAAGAUGGCCGAAUAGGAACAGCUCCAGUCUGCAGCUCCCAGCGAGAUCGACACAGAAGGCAGGUCAUUUCUGCAUUUACAACUGAGGUCUUGAGACUUCGGUUUCGCAUACAUAAAGAAGAUGGUACCGUAAAAUAUGAUCACCACAGUCAGGAAAUCAAAAGAAGAUCUAACAUGAAAUGUAUUUACUGCCAAGAAACAAACAGUACAAAUUAACUGAACAAUCAUUCUUUUGACACAUAUUAGAAGGAGUGCUUGCUUGAAGUUCUGACAUCCAGUUAUCUUCAGUAAUGUGUGUGACUAGAAUACAAUGAAAUUGGGAAUGAUGGAAGCACCUAUACCGCAUCGCCAAUAUGUGAAGAUCUACCCACGAUCAGACACACAUGCAGACGGAACCUUUCCUGCUGUUGAGGACAUGUUCCUGAGUUGAGGACACUCUCCCGAGCUGAGGUUUCUAAAACCCCUGGCCAAUCAACAACUCUAAGCUUAACAUCUUCAUUUCAUCAACCCCAGCAAACAAGCAGUAAAGGGGGCAAAAGACUACUCAACAAAGACUGGAAUUUUAAUUCAGCAAUUUAUAAAGUGUUUAAAAUUUCACAGC